UGGGGGAUAUUGCACAAUGGGCGAAAGCCUGAUGCAGCGACGCCGCGUGGGGGAUGAAGGCCUUCGGGUUGUAAACUUCUUUUGCUCUGAACAAGGCAUGCUUUUGGGGUGUGUUGAGUGUAGGGGUUGAUUAGCGCCGGCUAACUACGUGCCAGCAGCCGCGGUAAUACGUAGGGCGCGAGCGUUGUCCGGAAUUAUUGGGCGUAAAGGGCUUGUAGGUGGCUGGUUGCGUCUGUCGUGAAAGCUCAUGGCUUAACUGUGGGUUUGCGGUGGGUACGGGCUGGCUUGAGUGCAGUAGGGGGGGCUGGAAUUCCUGGUGUAGCGGUGGAAUGCGCAGAUAUCAGGAGGAAUACCGGUGGCGAAGGCGGGUCUCUGGGCUGUUACUGACGCUGAGGGGCGAAAGCGUGGGGAGCGAACAGG
rnacentral:rRNA from 1 species